rnacentral:rRNA from 1 species
AUUGAACGCUGGCGGCAGGCUUAACACAUGCAAGUCGAGCGGGGUGAUGGUGCUUGCACUAUCACUUAGCGGCGGACGGGUGAGUAAUGCUUAGGAAUCUGCCUAUUAGUGGGGGACAACAUCUCGAAAGGGAUGCUAAUACCGCAUACGUCCUACGGGAGAAAGCAGGGGAUCACUUGUGACCUUGCGCUAAUAGAUGAGCCUAAGUCGGAUUAGCUAGUUGGUGGGGUAAAGGCCUACCAAGGCGACGAUCUGUAGCGGGUCUGAGAGGAUGAUCCGCCACACUGGGACUGAGACACUGCCCAGACUCCUACGGGAGGCAGCAGUGGGGAAGAUUGGACAAUGGGGAGAACCCUGAUCCAGCCAUGCCGCGUGUGUGAAGAAGGCCUUAUGGUUGUAAAGCACUUUAAGCGAGGAGGAGGCUCUUUUGGUUAAUACCCAAGAUGAGUGGACGUUACUCGCAGAAUAAGCACCGGCUAACUCUGUGCCAGCCGCCGCCGUAA